rnacentral:pre_miRNA from 1 species
AGCACACUAAGAUAUUGGCGCGGCUCAAUCAAAAUCACUAAAUAUGAACCUUACAUCUUUUAACUUAAAGUUCAUUACAUUUGACUUCUGAGUGAGCCAAGCCAACAUCACAGUGACUAUU